ensembl:lncRNA
AUUAGAUCCCACUCCCUUGACGCUGCUGCGUGCUCUUCCCUGCUGGUGACUGCUGCCUGCCCCUCUCUGCCUGCUGACCUGUAUGUGGAGCCAUGCCCUCAACUGCUCUGUGUGAAACAAUCCAAGCUUGAAAGUAUUUUUUGGCCAUGCUUUAAGGGAUUACUGUAGAACUUCAGAAACUUCCGAAAGCCAAAUCCAGCUGUGUUGGAGGAUGAAUGCACUGGGGUGAACGCACCAUACACAGCAAACGCUCCCUAAGAGGGCAGCAGAAUACAUGAGUGUGCAACCUCAGCCUUCCUUUGAAAACAGACUGAAUGAAGAUCACACGCC